AUUAAAAGCUCAGCUAAGAUGAAUAUUUUGCUCUAACAAAGAGCUAACUGUAGAAGCAGAGAUCAGGAACUGAAUACUCCAAAUUGUUGAAGAUCUAUGAUUUAGGAGCCCAAUCUCUGACACUGAACACCUGAUUUUCCAGUACAUUUAUGGAUGAAAACUGUUUCUUCAAGAUGACUUCACACAGAGGGUGGUGACGCACUGGAACAGACUGCCAAAGGAGGUUGUGGAUGCUCCAUCCCCGGAGGCAUUCAAGGCCAGGCUGGAUGUGGCUCUGGGCAGCCUGGUCUGGUGGUUGGCGACCUUGCACAUAGCAGAGGGGUUGAAACUUGAUUGUUAUGGUCCUUUUCAACUCAGGCCAUUCUAUGAUUCUAUGACUUCAUCAGAUUUCCAUUAUUUUUUCUGAAAUCCUUUUCUCCCAUGGCUUGACUCCUGACAUUGCAAGCCCAUGCUCUCACUCACGGACCAAAUUACAAAACAAAUCAUAUAUGAAAAUGGUUUACAUUCUUUUGCAUCUUUUGGCUACACUGUUAUAAAAUUUCAACCCAGUUGCCAUUCUAAAAAUCAGAUCUAAAUUCUGAUUAACAUUAAAAUCAGAUUAAAUUGAUCGGUGUAUUUAUGAUAGACCAUAUCUAUCUGAAGAACACAUAAAUGGUUAAAUUUGUGUAUGAGAAUAGGGUUUAUGGGAUCAGGUGCUGUCUGGAGUCUUGGUACUUUGAUAUUCAUGGCAAUUUCACACAUAACCAUUAGGUAUAUAAGGUCUGUAGAAUUAAGCACUGAAUGAAAGCCUAGUAAUACUAAUAUCUUGUGCAUUGCACACAGUAAUCACAAAAAAGAAGGCAUUUCUAAGUGUUAUUUUGUUCAUCUACUCUCCCAAGAUCUUCAAGGAAUGAAAGACUGCGGGAAAUAAAUCUCUCAUUACAAGGCAAACUCCAGACAUGCAAUCCCUCUUCUUCAGUAUCUGCAUACUUCCCACUUGUUGAUUAGCUACAAAAUUAAAGUGAGCUUGUUUUUCUCUUUGUAGGCAGUUAGUAUUAACAUUCACAGGACUAGAUAUAUUCAUAAAUUGCUAAUUGCAUGAGCUGCAUCUUGUCAGUUGUUCCCAAAUUUUGAUGUGCUGUGGAGGAGAUCUGAGAAAGCUUAGGAUAUUGUUAAAAACAUGACAAUGAAAUUCAUCAUGUAAGAAUAAUGUUGACUCAAAGAGUGAAUUGCUUCUAAUUCUUGUUUCAGUUCCUAUGAAGUAAACAGUUGGGCAAUCGCACAAGUGCUCAAGAAAUUACAAGUGCAGAUAGCAGUGCCUGUAAGGGAUCAAACAUCUGUGCUUACACAGCUUCAGAAAGAUGGUCCAAAGAUAUAGCCUGUGUAUGAUGCAAUUCCCUGCAGAAUUCACUGGGAAGUGAAAAUUUCUCAGGAUCCAUAUUUUUAUUAAUUUCAGUAAAUAACUUGCAUUUUACUUGUAUAGUAUUACUAAUAGAACCUAUAUAAAAUUCCUAAAUGGAAUAACAGGCAUAACAAGAGCUUUUAGGAAAAGAUGAAUUAAUUUAACAUUACUGUCAGAUUUCAAUAAAUCAGAAAUUAAGAUUUGAUGUAGAAUCAAUGACACUGGCAACAGAAAGUGCAAUUAGCGAUACUAAUCAUCUGAAGUAUGCAGCUCAAUAAUGAAAGCUGGGAGGAGCAGCUGAUGCGCUUGAAGGCUGUGCUGCUCUUCAGUUUGACCUGAACAGGCUGGAAAGUUGGGCACAGAAUGAGGUUUAACAGGGACAAGUCCUACACCUGUGGAGGAAUAAGUGCAUGCUUCAGUACAGGUUAGGGCCUGACCUGCUAGAGAGGAGCUCUGCAGAGAAGGACCUGGAUGUCCCGCUGGACAGCAGGUUGACCAUGUGCCAGCAGUGUGCUUUUGUGGCCAAGAGGGCCAGUGGUAUCCUGGGCUGCUUUUAAAAAAGUGUGGCCAGCAGGUUGAAGGUGGUUGUCCUUCCCCUCUAGUCUGCCCUGGUGAGGCCACAUCUGGAAAAUUGUGUCCAGUUCUGGGCUCCUCAGUUAAAGAAUGACAGAGAACUGCUGGAGGGAAUCCAGGACAGCUACAAAGAUGAUUAAGGGCCCAGAGCAUCUCAUGUAUGAGGAAAGGCUGAGAGGGGAUCUUAUCAAUGCUUAUAAAUAUCUAAAGGACAGGAAUCAAGUGGAUGGGGCCAGGCUCUUUUCACCAAAAUGGGCAGUGGGCACAAACUGGAAUAAAGGAAGUUUCGUUUGAACAUGAGGAAAAAUAUCUUUACUUAGAAAGUAACAGAGCACUGGAACCAGAUAGGUUCUGGAGUCUACUCCUCUGGAAAUACUUUAAACUCACCUCAUUACUUUCCUGUGCAACCUGCUAUAGGGAACCUGAUUAGCAGGGGUUUGGACCUGAUGAUAUCCAGAGGUCCCUUGUAACUCGUACAAUUCUGUGAUUCUGUGAAAAGAACUUUCUAUUUUUCAUAAAAUAUACAUCUAACAUCUAAAUCUGAUGAAUUUGAAUUGCAAAUUUAAAACCUAUUUGAAGCACUUUAAAAUAAUCAGUUCUCCAUGGCAAACAUAAUCAGGUUUAUUUAUUUAUUUAGAACUGAUAAAAGCAUAUGUAAGUAGAUGAAAACGAAAAACCUCCAAAAAUAUUAAAAGUGAUUAUUUCCU
ensembl:lncRNA